GAUGAACGCUGGCGGCGUGCCUAAUACAUGCAAGUCGAGCGAACAGACGAGGAGCUUGCUCCUCUGAUGUUAGCGGCGGACGGGUAAGUAACACGUGGAUAACCUACCUAUAAGACUGGGAUAACUUCGGGAAACCGGAGCUAAUACCGGAUAACAUGUUGAACCGCAUGGUUCAACAGUGAAAGACGGUCUUGCUGUCACUUAUAGAUGGAUCCGCGCCGCAUUAGCUAGUUGGUAAGGUAACGGCUUACCAAGGCAACGAUGCGUAGCCGACCUGAGAGGGUGAUCGGCCACACUGGAACUGAGACACGGUCCAGCCUCCUACGGGAGGCAGCAGUAGGGAAUCUUCCGCAAUGGGCGAAAGCCUGACGGAGCAACGCCGCGUGAGUGAAGAAGGUCUUCGGAUCGUAAAACUCUGUUAUUAGGGAAGAACAAAUGUGUAAGUAACUAUGCACGUCUUGACGGUACCUAAUCAGAAAGCCACGGCUAACUACGUG
rnacentral:rRNA from 1 species